rnacentral:rRNA from 1 species
GAUGAACGCUGGCGGCGUGCCUAACACAUGCAAGUCGAGCGAGAAACUUAGUAUUGACACUUCGGUAGAUUUAUUAAGCGGAAAGCGGCGGACGGGUGAGUAACGCGUAGGCAACCUGCCCAUGACAGAGGGAUAGCCUCGGGAAACCGGGAUUAAGACCUCAUAACGCUGUAGAUUCACAUGUAUUUACAGUCAAAGAUUUAUCGGUCAUGGAUGGGCCUGCGUCUGAUUAGUUAGUUGGUGAGGUAACGGCUCACCAAGGCAACGAUCAGUAACCGAACUGAGAGGGUAAUCGGUCACAUUGGAACUGAGACACGGUCCAGACUCCUACGGGAGGCAGCAGUGGGGAAUAUUGCACAAUGGGCGCAAGCCUGAUGCAGCAACGCCGCGUGAACGAUGAAGGUUCUAUGAAUCGUAAAGUUCUGUUCUGAGGAAAGAAACAAAUGACGGUACCUCAGGAGCAAGCCCCGGCUAACUACGUGCCAGCCGCCGCCGUAACAC